rnacentral:tRNA from 1 species
GAAGUGUGGAAACCGAGAAAAAGCUUCUAACUUUUACCUCUAGCGGUGAAAAUCCGUUAACACUUCU